UGCGCCGAGCGAUGACGCGAACUUGCCGCGUAACUCUCGACUCCGGAACGGAGUCUGGUUCCAGCUCCUCCUCCGCCCGGGUCUUGAUAGGGUUAAAGAACCAGUGGGAGCGGCUUAACAAGUCGGACGGCCGGGAGCGAUGCCGGAGACGCGCCUGCGUAUACAUCUUAAUGGCAGAGAAAAUAAUGCGAUGAAGAGCAGCCUUUCCCAGCAAACCACUCAACAUUUGAGAAACCUCCCUUUAUGCUUGACUGUGUUUGUAGAUUGAAAUCUAUUACUCUAGGAUUCUCUCACACCAGAAUAUAUCCGGAAAAUAUUGUGGCACAAGAAGACGACGACAUCAUUAAUAAAAAUCCAAAGCAACUGAAUCACAGGGAUGGAGGGACUAUGAAUGUGUGGA